rnacentral:rRNA from 1 species
GAGUUUGAUCCUGGCUCAGAACGUACGCUGGCGGCACGCCUAACACAUGCAAGUCGAACGAAGUAGCAAUACUUAGUGGCAGACGGGUGAGUAACAUGUAGGUAUCUGCCCUUUGGCCUGGAAUAACACGAGGAAACUUGUGCUAAUACCGGAUAAGUCUUUACGGAGAAAGCUUUAUGCACCAUUGGAUGAGCCUGCACUUGAUUAGUUUGUUGGUGGGGUAAUGGCCUACCAAGACUGUGAUCAAUAGCUGAUUUGAGAGGAUGAUCAGCCACAUUGGGACUGAGACACGGCCCAAACUCCUACGGGAGGCAGCAGUGGGGAAUCUUGCACAAUGGAGGAAACUCUGAUGCAGCGAUGCCGCGUGAGUGAAGAAGGCCCUUGGGUUGUAAAGCUCUUUCGUCGGGGAAGAAAAUGACUGUACCCGAAUAAGAAGGUCCGGCUAACUUCGUGCCAGCAGCCGCGGUAAUACGAAGGGACCUAGCGUAGUUCGGAAUUACUGGGCUUAAAGAGUUCGUAGGUGGUUGAAAAAGUUAGUGGUGAAAUCCCAGAGCUUAACUCUGGAACUGCCAUUAAAACUUUUCAGCUAGAGUAUGAUAGAGGAAAGCAGAAUUUCUAGUGUAGAGGUGAAAUUCGUAGAUAUUAGAAAGAAUACCAAUUGCGAAGGCAGCUUUCUGGAUCAUUACUGACACUGAGGAACGAAAGCAUGGGUAGCGAAGAGGAUUAGAUACCCUCGUAGUCCAUGCCGUAAACGAUGUGUGUUAGACGUUGGAAAUUUAUUUUCAGUGUCGCAGGGAAACCGAUAAACACACCG